GCCUUAUAGAAAUAACUUACCUUACUUUAUAUUUUAACUUAAUCUAGUAGCUGAAGCUUUUAAGAGAGUGACCCAACCUAUGCUCAGUAAACUUAGAAAGUGUUGCCAGUGUUUUAUUUUUUCAUGAUUUCUCUUGUUAAUUUAAAAGAGGGUAGAUAAGAAAUAGGAUAUGAUUCUUGUCCCACAUUAUUCUGUCAUUAAUAUUGGAGUUAUAGUUUCUGUCAAGUUAAGCACAGUGAAUAUAAUUGUUUAAAUUAUUAUAAAUAGUUGAGAAAAUGUAAUUAUAACAAAAUCCUUUAUUAUUCUUUAAAACUAUUAAAUUGAACUGCUAUAAGCCAAUAAUAGAUGUACCAAAUCCUACCAUUUCUUUUCAAAAGUGUGAUAGCUCUGCAUUUAUCUGCUACAAAUAUUGACUUUCACAUAAGGAAAUGAAUGAUACCAUUGCCUUAAGUUUUUUUUAAAAAGCUACUUCUAUAUAGACUGUCAUUGCCCAUAGCAACUGGUUGACUCCUCAUGAGCUACUUUUCCUCUUCCGAGGGAAUGAACUAAGAGCCCAUAUUUCCUGCUAGUAGGAACCGGUUGCUUAUGGGUAAAUAGGACUGGGGGAG
rnacentral:lncRNA from 1 species